GCUGUGAUGGCUGAGUGGUUAAGGCGUUGGAUUUGAAAUCUAAAGGGGUUUCCCUGUGCAGGCUCGAACCCUGUUCACAGCG